rnacentral:rRNA from 1 species
CCUACGGGAGGCAGCAGUAGGGAAUCUUCGGCAAUGGACGAAAGUCUGACAGAGCAACGCCGCGUGAGUGAAGAAGGUUUUCGGAUCGUACAACUCUGUUGGUAGAGAAGAACGUUGGUGAGAGUGGAAAGCUCAUCAAGUGACGGUAAAUACCCAGAAAGGGACGGCUAACUACGUGCCAGCAGCCGCGGUAAUACGCAGGUCCCGAGCGUUGUCCGGAUUCAUUGGGAGUAAUGCGAGCGCAGGUGGUUUAUGAAGUCUGGUGUAAAAGGCAGUUGAUGAACCAUUGUAUGCAUUGGAGACUGGUAGACUUGAGUGCAGGAGAUGAGAGUGGAAUUCCGUGUGUAGCGGUGAAGUGCGUAGAUAUAUUGAGGAACUCCGAUGGCGAAAGCGGCUCUCUGGCCUGUAACUGACACUGAGGCUCGAAAGCGUGGGGAGCAAACAGGAUUAGAUACCCUAGUAGUC